AGUGAACGCUGGCGGUAGGCCUAACACAUGCAAGUCGAACGGCAGCACAGUAAGAGCUUGCCCUUACGGGUGGCGAGUGGCGGACGGGUGAGGAAUACAUCGGAAUCUACUUUUUCGUGGGGGAUAACGUAGGGACACUUCCGCUAAUACCGCAUACGACCUACGGGUGAAAGCAGGGGAUCUUCGGACCUUGCGCGAUUGUAUGAGCCGAUGUCGGAUUAGCUAGUUGGCGGGGUAAAGGCCCACCAAGGCGACGAUCCGUAGCUGGUCUGAGAGGAUGAUCAGCCACACUGGAACUGAGACACGGUCCAGACUCCUACGGGAGGCAGCAGUGGGGAAUAUUGGACAAUGGGCGCAAGCCUGAUCCAGCCAUACCGCGUGGGUGAAGAAGGCCUUCGGGUUGUAAAGCCCUUUUGUUGGGAAAGAAAAGCAGCAGGUUAAUACCCCGCUGUUCUGACGGUACCCAAAGAAUAAGCACCGGCUAACUUCGUG
rnacentral:rRNA from 1 species